AAUACAUGCAGUCGAACGAAGUAGCAAUACUUAGUGGCAGACGGGUGAGUAACAUGUAGGUAUCUUCCCAUUGGUGAGGAAUAACACGAGGAAACUUGUGCUAAUACCUCAUAAGUCUUUACGGAGAAAGCUUUAUGCGCCAAUGGAUGAGCCUGCACUUGAUUAGUUUGUUGGUAGGGUAAUGGCCUACCAAGACAAUGAUCAAUAGCUGAUUUGAGAGGAUGAUCAGCCACAUUGGGACUGAGACACGGCCCAAACUCCUACGAGAGGCAGCAGUAGGGAAUCUUGCACAAUGGGGGAAACCCUGAUGCAGCGAUGCCGCGUGAGUGAAGAAGGCCUUUGGGUUGUAAAGCUCUUUCGUCGGGGAAGAAAAUGACUGUACCCGAAUAAGAAGGUCCGGCUAACUUCGUGCCAGCAGCCGCGGUAAUACGAAGGGACCUAGCGUAGUUCGGAAUUACUGGGCUUAAAGAGUUCGUAGGUGGUUAAAAAAGUUGGUGGUGAAAUCCCAGAGCUUAACUCUGGAACUGCCAUCAAAACUUUUUAGCUAGAGUAUGAUAGAGGAAAGCAGAAUUUCUAGUGUAGAGGUGAAAUUCGUAGAUAUUAGAAAGAAUACCAAUUGCGAAGGCAGCUUUCUGGAUCAUUACUGACACUGAGGAACGAAAGCAUGGGUAGCGAAGAGGAUUAGAUACCCUCGUAGUCCAUGCCGUAAACGAUGUGUGUUAGACGUUGGAAAUUUAUUUUCUGUGUCGCAGCGAAAGCAAUAAACACACCGCCUGGGGAGUACGACCGCAAGGUUAAAACUCAAAUGAAUUGACGGGGACCCGCACAAGUAGUGGAGCAUGUGGUUUUAUUCGAAGAUACGCGCAGAACCUUACCCACACUUGACAUGUUCGUCGCGACUUUA
rnacentral:rRNA from 1 species